GACAAGCCGUGGCCAAUGAGGAAAAGUUGCACAAUAUAAAACCCUAGUUAACCUAGUGCCAUGUCAUUUCAAACAAAUCUACUUCACCUUCUUUCUCAUUCUGGUUCUUUUCAAAGACAAAAGCAAGGCAAAGAUGGAAAGCUCUGUCGACGAAACAGCAAAAGAAGUCUCUAAUUUAUCAAUGGACGUUGAGCCUUCAGCUUCCGAAGGAGAAACCAUUAGCAAGAAUGCACGCAAGAAGGAAUUGAAGAAUAAGCAGAGGGAAGAAGAGAGACGCCGCAAGGAGGAGGAGAAGGCCAAACAGGCUGCAGAGAGGGCUAGCUCCAAGGUUCAGAAAUCUGCAGCAGCUGAUGAUGAAGAUAUGGAUCCAACGCAAUACUAUGAGAAUAGGCUGAGAUAUCUUGCUUCCCAGAAGGCUGAAGGAGGAAAUCCUUAUCCUCACAAAUUUCAUGUUUCAAUGUCCGUCGUUGAGUACAUAGAAAAGUACGGAAGCUUAAGCAAUGGAGAACAUAUUGAGGAUGUCACUGAAUCUUUGGCUGGUCGAAUCAUGAAGAAAAGAUCUUCCUCUUCGAAGUUAUUCUUUUAUGAUUUGCACGGUGGUGAUGUUAAAGUACAAGUGAUGGCUGAUGCUAGCAAGUCAGGCAUGGAUGAAGCUGAGUUUUCUAGGUUCCACUCCAGUGUGAAGCGUGGUGAUAUUGUUGGUGUCAUUGGAUUUCCAGGAAAAACUAAAAGGGGAGAGCUGAGUAUUUUUCCAAGAUCUUUUACAGUUUUAUCUCAUUGUCUCCAUAUGAUGCCAAGGGAAAAACCUGGUCAUAAUGCCAAUAGAACUGAUAUCUGGGCCCCAGGACUGGCCAGGAAUCCUGAAGCUUAUAUUUUGAAAGAUCAGGAAACGCGGUAUCGUCAACGUUAUCUAGAUCUGAUGCUGAAUGCGGAGGUUCGACAAUUAUUCAAGGCCCGAUCUAAGAUCAUAUCUUAUCUAAGGGGGUUUCUUGACAAUCUUGAUUUCCUGGAGGUUGAAACACCCAUGAUGAACAUGAUUGCUGGCGGAGCUGCUGCUCGGCCAUUUGUUACUCAUCACAAUGAACUGAACAUGAGGCUCUUUAUGCGUAUUGCACCUGAACUUUAUCUUAAAGAGUUAGUUGUUGGUGGUCUGGAUCGUGUUUAUGAGAUAGGAAAGCAAUUUAGAAAUGAGGGUAUUGAUUUGACUCACAAUCCUGAGUUCACAACCUGUGAGUUCUAUAUGGCUUUUGCGGACUACAAUGACUUGAUGGAACUAACUGAGAGAUUGUUGAGUGGAAUGGUCAAGGAACUUACAGGUGGCUACAAAAUUAAGUAUCACGCAAAUGGGCUUGACAAUGAUCCAAUUGAGGUUGACUUUACACCACCUUUUAGACGGAUUGACAUGAUAGAGGAGUUAGAGAAGAUGGCCAACCUCAACAUACCAAAGGAUCUUUCUAGUGAUGAAGCUAACAAGUAUCUUGUUGAUGUGUGUGGGAGGUUCGAGGUCAAGUGUCCCCCUCCUCAGACAACAGCUCGUCUGUUGGAUAAGCUGGUGGGGCACUUUCUGGAAGAAACUUGUGUGAAUCCUACUUUCAUCAUAAACCAUCCUGAGAUCAUGAGUCCUUUGGCAAAGUGGCACAGAUUGAAACCAGGCUUGACUGAACGUUUUGAAUUGUUUGUGAACAAGCACGAGCUGUGCAAUGCAUACACUGAAUUGAAUGACCCUGUGGUACAACGUCAGCGAUUUACUGAACAACUCAAGGACCGACAAUCAGGUGAUGAUGAAGCAAUGGCUUAUGAUGAAACAUUUUGCACUGCUCUUGAGUUUGGGUUACCUCCAACUGGUGGCUGGGGAAUGGGUAUUGAUCGUCUAGCUAUGUUGUUAACUGAUUCCCAGAAUAUCAAGGAGGUGCUGCUCUUCCCAUCCAUGAAGCCUCAAGAUGAAUCUCCUGCUAAAGAAUCAGCUCUGCUUAUGCACCAAAAAGCCCCUUAACAACUGGCCUGGCCUGGCUUGGCCUGGAAGAAGCAUUCUCAUCAAAUCCGGUUAAAGAAUCGGACCAUGUGCGAGAAGACGCUUAUAAAAUAAGCAUCAAGCCUGUGAAUGACAAAGAGGUAAAUUACCCAUAUGUUUCUAUCAGUUAUUAUGUACUGAGUCCCAUAGAGAAAAGGUAUGAAAGCCUGAACCCAUAUGAGAUUGCAACCUACUAUACUGAACAUCAUUCUGCUGUCCCAUUCUACCCUAAGGCCUAUGAUUAUUAUCAGGCCAUACUCACUGAGACAGAUUCAGUAGAAAUAGCACUCACUGAAAGAACGGGCCGUCAAUGGGCCUACAACAAGUUUGUUAUAAAAAUAUCAUAACUAGUGAACAGUGGGGAGACUCUUUAAACAAAGGGAGAUGAGGUAUGGAACACCCAGAUGAUAUAGUUACUUUGACUAUAUCCAAGCCUGGACUGGAGCACUACUAUAUGAAAAUCGGCAAAGAAAAUUUAGCUGGUUUAUUCAAUUUCAAUUGGAAAGGGAAAUUAAAGAAUUUCCCCCUUGGUUCCAUGAAUGGUUCUUCAAUUGGGGCAUUUUCCCAAUAAUGUUGCCAGACAAAGUUAGAACUGUUUAUGAACAGUUUGCAAAGGUUAAUGAGCCUCUAUCAAAUCCCAGACUAGAUUUCUCUCCUGUACAAAAUACCAUGGAUAGCUAGGUGGGAUUAUAUAUUAACCUCUAAAAAGCCUAAAAAAUUUAAUGAAUUUGCUAUUAAUGAUGUAAAAUGGCUAACUAGAAGAAUAAUGGUAAAAUGGUGGGAUAAAACUGAUUUCUUUGGAAAACUAUCUAUCCACUACCAACAAGGAAUAAUGCAGCUGGUUAAAAAACCAGAUGAUCCAUCUGAACAGUAAAAAAUGACUAGACUGCUGAAGGAGUUAUUUUACUCUAUUUCCAAGGAUGAACUAAAAUAACGCCUGACCUUAGCUUUGGAGGAAUUAUCAGAUACUGGUACUACAAAAGACAAGCCACAAGAAAAGGGUGAAGGCUCAAACACAAAAUCCAAAAAAGCUAAAGAAAGCAGUGAUUCAGAUGAAGAUGACUUACUGUCCGACUCUCUUUUUCACGAUAGCCAAGACCCAUAUGACUCAUCAUGGCCAUAAAGAAAAAGCUUUUUGACGUCCGCAAUAACGUAAAACUACACUAUCUGUAAAUAAUUGUAUAGCUUUAGUCGAUUUCAGCUGUUAGAUAACGACGAUAGUGGACGAUGGGGCCCAAUGCGCACCCGCAUUAUCUCUUAUCUUAAGGGAAUCAUUACUUUAUGCUUUCUUAUCUGUAACAUGCCACGCGUCUGUCAUAUGCUGAUGGCUUUAAAUUAUGUUGAUAAGAUUGAAUAUAUCAACUUGGCCUAGAAGUUGAUAUAAAUAGGAGUUGAAAGUCUAGCAGAAGACACGAAAGAAAAAUCCUCUCUUUGUAAUAUCCAGUUUCUCUGUAAUUUUGAAUGAAAUCUACAUUUUCAAAAUUUGAAUCGAGAUCUCUUGGUAGAAAACUAUCUCAAUUAUCUCUUAAAUCUAAAGCUGCAAAAAUUUGCAGAAAAAGAAAUAUUCCUGUUAACGACUUGAUCGGAGCACAAGAUACUCUCGGAGAACCUAGCGGAAAGUUUGACUAUCUAGUUUGGUACACCAAGCCAGAAUCAGCAGAAAUUCCAUUCUCUGACAUUAAGCCAACUGGGUGGGGAGACGAAUUCCAAAACGAAUUUCAAAACGAAUUCCAAAGCAUAGUAAGUCUUCAAUGUCUGAUAAUAUAUCUAAGGCAAUAGAAAAAUUAUUGUUUAUAGAUCUAACUAAUCAAAGUGAAGUCUUAUGUUUUAAAACCACACUAGUAGCAGAAGGUCGUGAGUUGUAUAAUUAUCACGCUGUUAAUCACAACGAACAUUGUGAUCGUAGAGAGUACCAAAGAACCUUAGCUUUGUUUAAUGAUAUUUUAAAUUACUUAAGUCAACUUUUAAGAAAUAAUAAUUUUUAAUUUGACUUGUGCUUUAUGAUAUAUUAGAAUUAUUGUAUGUUUGCUUAUUUGUGUGUUUUGGUUUGUUAGAAUUAUUGUAUGUUUGUUUAUUUGUGUGUUUUGGUUUGCUAGCUUCCCCUAUUGGUAUCAGAGCCAGUGUUGAACUCAAUCCUGACUAAACCUUAGUGAAACCUAAGUCGCGUUUCCUGUUGCCAAGAAAACCUUAGAAGUUAGGCGUGUUGGAGUAAGUCGUUGACAGUGAUCUAAGGUUAAGAUGGAAAGGUUAUUUGACUCAAUCUCUGGUAGAUCUAGGAGAUCUAACCCUUCUAGUUUUUCUAAAAACAAAAAUAAAAAUAAAGAAAUAUUAUUAGCAUCCAAUAUAGAUACUAGUUUACAUAAUUGGAAACUGCCUCCCGUAUCAUCUGAUCUUAUAUAUAAAAAUCCUUUUAAAUUUAGAUCUGAUUAUGUAGUUAAGACCGUAGAACAGGCUACCCCAGUACAUGGAGAAAUGAAAUCGAUGGGUUUAUUGUCUGAGGAACUCAUCAGAAAACAUCAAGAAACAUACUCGUUCCUUCAUAUAGGAAUGAUUCAAGUCGCGGUAAAACCAGCGACCAGAUUAGGGCUUAAUACAGCCGCUAUGCUUUGUGUCAGAGAUAAGAGACACAAUAAAUUCAGUGACUCCUUAUUAGGAGUAGUGGAAUCUUCUCUAUGUGACGGGCCAAUAUUCUUUCAAUGCUUUCCUAUUCUCACUCUGUCCCUUUCAGAUCCACAUAUCAUGAAAACUCUAAUUCUUGAUAUAAAAACUAUGGGAUAUGACAUGGCUCCAGGAUCAGAAAAUUUGAUUCUGAUCUACAGAAUCCAUUAUAAAGCAAUGAAUACGGUGGUCCCUAAUUUAAGGGAUAGUGCUACUAAGUUAGUCUCUCCAAAAGGAACGACUACUUUGUUUUUGAUUAAUAUGUCAAAAGGAAACUUAAUAGUUCCAAAACCAAUUCAAUGGGAUCAGGUUAAUUUGCCUGAUAGCUGGAUUCUUGAAGAAGCAGUACCACCAAGAAAAGAAGAAUCAACUGCUGUUCAAACAAUCAUGCAGUCAAACGAAGGAACAGUUGCUAUCUCAUUCAGCAGAAGCAGGAGUGUUUCUGACAGAAGAUCUAUGGCAGAAAUCUCUCUAAUGUCAGAACCAUUACCUCCGCGAUCUUCGGUAUCAAUCCUAGUCCAAAGAAGUAACUCUGUAAUUGGACUACACAGAUCUGAAGAGCAAGUGGCAAAUCCUGUGUAUGCAAGGCCUCAAAGCCCAGUUCAAAAGCCUCAAAGCCCAAUGCCAUCAGACAUGGGCUACGAUGCUGAAAGCUUAUACUCAAAAUCCUUCAAAAUUAUGCUGCUAGAAACAGAAGAAGAACCAUUCAACAAAUGGUUUAAAAUGGAACUUCCUAUCAAAGAACAGAAGAUGUGGAGUAGGAAGUACGAGAUAUAUAAAACCCAGAAAUAAGGAAGUAAAGACUUUCCUGGGUUUAUUAAACACUGUUUCUCUAUACUAAAAAAACCAUAUCCAAACCUUGAGGACCCUUCCUUUUUAACCACCCUUGAAUCCCAUUACAGAACCUUCAUAACUCCUCAAAAGAAAGUCCUUAAAGAAAUGCAUCCACCCUUGACAGUCAUAGCCUAUCAACCAACAGAAAAUACCAAAGUAGAAUGCAUUCCUUUUUCCCAUGACCAUACCGAAAACCCCGCAGCAAAACAACAAAAUUAUACCAACCUAAGCCUCCACACAAUUGGUCAACAGCUGAACAGGGUUGAAAAUCAAGUCUCAAAAAUGGCAGCUCAACCAAGAUCAAUAGACAUCAUCCCGACAAAGGAAGUUGCAGAAUCCUCAGGAACCAAAGUGGAUGAAAAGGUGUUGUUUAAACCAAUGGACAGUAAACCCAUUGGUAUUAAAUUAAACAAAAAUGAAGAAAUGUUGGAAGAGCUCUCAAAAAGACUAGCUAAACUGGGAAUAAAAGAAGAUGGAAAAAUGAAAGCAAUUGCUCCAUUAACAAUGGAGUUAGAAGAAGAAAAGUUAAGUACUGAUCACGAGUUAAUUCAACUCGAAAAGAUGUUACAAGAAACUGAACCAGCAGAAAUCAAUAGGAUAAAAUAUCCUAAGGCACGAGCAACAAUGGAUUUAAAACCAUACUAUCCAAGGCCGUCGCCAAUAAAUUUGCAAUUUGAAGAUACCAGUUAUAAUUACAUGCAGUAUGAUGGAACUUCAAUAGUAGAAUGGAAUAUUGAUGGACUAUCAGAUUAUCAAAUCAAGAAUGUCCUUCAAUACAUGACUAUGUACGCUACUGCUAGUAGAGCUAAGGGUAAUGAUGACCCUAAUACCGCAAGAGCCUUAAUAGCAGAGUUUGGUGGCCAACUAAAAGGUUGGUGGGAUUUCACAGUCUCAAAUGAAGGCAAAGAGCUGAUAUUUAAAAUGAUCAAGCAAGAGGGAACUCAACAAGUGCUAGAUGUCGUUAAUACCCUAUUAUAUACAAUAGGGUUACAUUUUAUUGGAUUAGUAAAUAUGCUGACAGAUAGAACGCAUGAGCAGUUAAUAAAUCUUCGACGCCCGGAUCUAUCUCAUUUUAAAUGGUAUAAAGAUACAUUCUUCUCUUUGGUAUUCAUUAGAGAAGACAGCAAUAAUAGUGUCUGGAAGGAAAAAUUCUUAGCAGGAUUACCAGCACUAUUUGCAGAAAGAGUAAAAGAUCAAAUACGAAGCAAGCAUAACGGUAAUAUACCGUAUCAUCAAUACACAUACGGAGAAUUGGCCUCUGAAGUGGUGUCCACAGGAAUCAUCCUCUGCAAUGAAUUAAAAAUUCAUAAACAAAUGCAGAAAGAACGUUUCCAUGGCAAGCGAAUCCUUGGAAGCUUUUGUGAGCAAUAUGGCUUACCACCUCUUAAAUUUCCGACCACGAAAUUUACACUCCUGCUUCUACUGAAUGAGAUAGCAACUGUUCCUUCGUUUGACUGCAUGAUUGUUUGAACAGCAGUUGAUUCUUCUUUUCUUGGUGGUACUGCUUCUUCAAGAAUCCAGCUAUCAGGCAAAUUAACCUGAUCCCAUUGAAUUGGUUUUGGAACUAUUAAGUUUCCUUUUGACAUAUUAGUAAAAAACAAAGUAGUCGUUCCUUUUGGAGAGACUAACUUAGUAGCACUAUCCCUUAUCCCUUAAAUUAGGGACCACUGUAUUCAUUGCUUUAUAAUGGAUUCUGUAGAUCAGAAUCAAAUUUUCUGAUCCUGGAGCCAUGUCAUAUCCCAUAGUUUUUAUAUCAAGAAUUAGAUUUUUCAUGAUAUGUGGAUCUGAAAGGGACAGAGUGAGAAUAGGAAAGCAUUGAAAGAAUAUUGGCCCGUCACACAGAGAAGAUUCCACUACUCCUAAUAAGGAGUCACUGAAUUUAUUGUGUCUCUUAUCUCUGACACAAAGCAUAGCGGCUGUAUUAAGCCCUAACCUGGUCGCUGGUUUUACCGCGACUUGAAUCAUUCCUAUAUGAAGGAACGAGUAUGUUUCUUGAUGUUUUCUGAUGAGUUCCUCAGACAAUAAACCCAUCGAUUUCAUUUCUCCAUGUACUGGGGUAGCCUGUUCUACAGUCUUAACUACAUAAUCAGAUCUAAAUUUAAAAGGAUUUUUAUAUAUAAGAUCAGAUGAUACGGGAGGCAGUUUCCAAUUAUGUAAACUAGUAUCUAUAUUGGAUGCUAAUAAUAUUUCUUUAUUUUUAUUUUUGUUUUUAGAAGAACUAGAAGGGCUAGAUCUCCUAGAUCUACCAGAGAUUGAGUCAAAUAACCUUUCCAUCUUAACCUUAGAUCACUGUCAACGACUUACUCCAACACGCCUAACUUCUAAGGUUUUCUUGGCAACAGGAAACGCGACUUAGGUUUCACUAAGGUUUAGUCAGGAUUGGGUUCAACACUGGCUCUGAUACCAAUAGGGGAAGCUAGCAAACUAAAACACACAAAUAAGCAAACAUACAAUAAUUCUAAUAUAUCAUAAAGCACAAGUCAAAUUAAAAAUUAUUAUUUCUUAAAAGCUGACUUAAGUAAUUUAAAAUAACAUUAAACAAAGCUAAGGUUCUUUGGUACUCUCUACGAUCACAAUGUUCGUUGUGAUUAACAGCGUGAUAAUUAUACAACUCACGACCUUCUGCUACUAGUGUGGUUUUAAAACAUAAGACUUCACUUUGAUUAGUUAGAUCUAUAAACACUAAUUUUUCUAUUGCCUUAGAUAUAUUAUCAGACAUUGAAGACUUACUAUGCUUUGGAAUUCAUUUUGGAAUUCGUCUCCCCACCCAGUUGGCUUAAUGUCAGAGAAUGGAAUUUCUGCUGAUUCUGGCUUGGUGUACCAAACUAGAUAGUCAAACUUUCCGCUAGGUUCUCCGAGAGUAUCAUGUGCUCCGAUCAAGUCGUUAACAAGAAUAUUUCUUUUUCUGCAAAUUUUUGCAGCUUCAGAUUUAAGAGAUAAUUGAGAUAGUUUUCUACCAAGAGAUCUCGAUUCAAAUUUUGAAAAUGUAGAUUUCAUUCAAAAUUACAGAGAAACUGGAUAUUACAAAGAGAAGAUUUUUCUUUCGUGUCUUCUGCUAGACUUUCAACUCCUAUUUAUAUCAACUUCUAGGCCAAGUUGAUAUAUUCAAUCUUAUCAACAUAAUUUAAAGCCAUCAGCAUAUGACAGACGCGUGGCAUGUUACAGAUAAGAAAGCAUAAAGUAAAGAUUCCCUUAAGAUAAGAGAUAAUGCGGGUGAGCAUUGGGCCCCAUCGUCCGCUAUCGUCGUUAUCUAACAGCUGGAAUCGACUAAAGCUAUACAAUUAUUUACAGAUAGUGUAGUUUUACGUCAUUGCGAACGUCAGAAAGCUUUUUCUUUAUGGCCAUGAUGAGUCAUAUGGGUCCUGGCUGUCGUGAAAAAGAGAGUCAGACAGUAAGUCAUCUUCAUCCGAAUCACUGCUUUCGUUAGCUUUUUUGGAUUUUGUGUUUGAGCCUUCACCAUUUUCUUGUGGCUUGUCUUUUGUAGUAGCAGUAUCUGAUAAUUCCUCCAAAGCUAAGGUCAGGCAUUGUUUUAGUUCAUCCUUGGGAAUAGAGUAAAAUAACUCCUUCAGCAGUCUAGUCAUUUUUGACUGUUCAGAUGGAUCAUCUGGUUUUUUAACCAGCUGCAUUAUUCCUUAUUGGUAGUGGACAAAUAGUUUUCCAAAGAAAUCAGUUUUAUCCCACCAUUAUUAUUCUAGUUAGCCAUUUUACAUCAUUAAUAGCAAAUUCAUUAAAUUUUUUAGGCUUUUUAGAGGUUAAUAUAUAAUCCCACCUGGCUAUCCAUGGUAUUUUGUACAGGAGAGUAAAAUCUAGUCUGAGAUUUGAUAGAGGCUCAUUAACCUUUGCAAACUGUUCAUAAACAGUUCUAACUUUGUCUGGCAACAUUAUUGGGAAAAUGCCCCAAUUGAAGAACCAUUCAUGGAACCAAGGGGGAAAUUCUUUAAUUUCCCUUUCUAAUUGAAAUUGAAUAAACCAGCUAAAUUUUCUUUGCCGAUUUUCGUAUAGUAGUGCUCUAGUCCAGGCUUGGAUAUAGUCAAAGUAACUAUACCAUCUGGGUGUUCCAUACCUCAUCUCCCUUUGUUUAAAGAGAGAGUCUCCUCACUGUUCACUAGUUAUGAUAUUUUUUAUAACAAACUUGCUGUAGGCCCGUUCUUUCAGUGGGUGCUAUUUCUACUGAACCUGUCUCAGUGAGUAUGGCCUGAUAAUAAUCAUAGGCCUUAGGGUAGAAUGGGACAGCAGAAUGAUGUUCAGUAUAGUAGGCUGCAAUCUCAUAUGGGUUCAGGCUUUCAUACCUUUUCUCUAUGGGACUCAGUACAUAAUAACUGAUAGGAACAUAUGGGUAAUUUACCUCUGUCAUUCACAGGCUUGAUGCUUAUUUUAUAAGUAUCUUCUCGCACAUGGUCCGAUUCUUUAACCGGAUUUGAUGAGGAUGCUUCUUUAUAUUGCCUUUUGGCCGGAAUCUUUGUACUCAUUUCCUGUAAGAAACUCUCUUGUUAGAAAAUCAGGAACAACUUGAUUUUGAAUGCUGUUUUGGAUAGCGAAGGUUUCAUUUUCAUCUGGACUUGGCUCUGAACUGCUGAUAAAUUUUAGCACAUUCUUCCUCAUUUUUAUUGGGGUUAGUCAUUUCAAUCCCCUAGUGGAGUGUGUGAAAUAUUGUCACAAUUCUCAUUAAAUAUAAUGUUUUUUUUUUUUUUUCGAAA